GGUUACACUUCAAUGAAUUAUCGUUAGUAACAUUUUAAUUGAGCCAUAAGAAAUGCUGCGUGAAGAGAUGCAUCAGCAAAGAACAACAAAUGUUCACCUUUCCUUCACAUGAAGUGGAUUGCAAUAGAAUGCUGCAGUGGGUGGAAGAGUGUGGUAGGAAAAAUCUAUUAUAGCCUCCCCCUCAGAAGCUAAAGUCGAAAACUAUUUGUGGCAUACAUUUUGAGAAAAAAUAUUUCCUCUACAAAAAAGUAUCAACAUCAGCAGUUCCAACAUGUCACUUACCAGCACCUGCCACAUCGGUAGAAGAGUCACAGGAAAACAAUGCAAUGGAAGUUAUAGAAGGAAAAAACAUCAAUCUGAUUGCACUGUAGAAUCCAAAGACUACAAGAGAUCUGGGUAGAUUUAGGAACAGCAAAGGAUCUACUGGCAUUAUGAGACCUAAUAUCACCAUUACACAUAUGGAACGUACAAUAUUUCCAGAGAGAUAACAUGCAAUGGUUAAAAGAGACUAUGUCUACAAGGAGAAAAAUUAUUACAGAAUGUUGGUAUAUCCUUGUAAAUUGCUGAUUGACUAUUGGAUUCAUUGUCAGUAUUAUGCAUGAAUCAGUUAAAAGACGCUGUGUCAAUUAUUUUUUACAAUUAUAUAUUAUGCUGUCAAAAGGAGUGAACACCAAGAAAUUCAGGCAUAUUUUUCCUAAUGGUACACAACAUUCGGUAAUUGGCCCAAAAGGUCGGUCAAGUUGUAACGUUCAACUAUUCGAACCACCAACGAUUAUAGCUAAGACAAACAACAUAAAUUAAGGGUUAUGAACCGAUUUUGAGAGAAUUCAAUGUGCCAAAAGUCACGUAAGUACACUUCCCUAUUUAAGUGGGAGAAAGAGCCUGCUACAAGGAAGCGAGACAUAUUCAGUAGUCAGCACCAUGCAGGGAUCAUCAAAUAAAAAUGCCGUGACGAUCCAUAACAGUACUGAUUGUCAGUGUCGCAAUGUCGCAUUAGAUUAGUAGCUCAUUACAUUGUAAAGGAUAUUUUGUAUAGUCGCCUUUAUCGCAGACGAGUAUCUUUUCACGAUCUCAACUAAGACAAUUGAUUUUCGUCUGAAGGUUGAAAGAGCUUUUCGUGCUCUUCCUUCAAUUCUAGUUUCGUUAGAUAGUACACAGACUACUGUGUUGUUUCUUCUAAUUAUUUCGAAGCCGUUAACACCACGCGCGUUCAGAAAUCACGUCGACAAAGUUCUGUGCUCUUCGAGUCAAAAAUAAUCCGGGAAAUUCCGCCAGAGUCCCGAGAGCGUUACUUUACGGUCGCUAAAAAGUCGUGCUCGUUGUUUCACCUCAACACACUAAUCUAUAUCUAUACUUCUAUACUAAUAUAUAAAGCUGUAAGCAUUUUCUUUGUUCGGGGUAAUCUCCAAAUCGACUGCUUCGAUUUUGAUCCGAUUUUUUUUUAUGUGUUCCUUAUAACCUUGCGAAGGACAUAGGCUCAGUUUUAUUACGCUGUUGCAUCGGGAAACGUAUAAAAUAUUGUUUAUUUUGUUUGUGUAAAUCGUAGCGCAGAACAGUUCAGCAGAACUGCUAAUCCCCACCGCUGCUGUGUUUACAUAGUAGUGGGAAUACCUUCGUACCUCUGCGGUGGGAAUGGAUGGCGGCGCUGUCGGUGCUGCUGCUUCUUGCAUUCAGCAUUCAUCUUUUUUUCUCAUACACUCACAGACAAAAUACCACCCGGGCAGCGCCGGGUAACACAGCUAGUACUUUAUAAUUACAUAACGUACUUAUAUUUUUCAGGUAACAUACUGAAAAUUCUGAAAAAUGACGCAAUAGAGAAUCUUCUGAAAUAGAAGACGUAUAAUACCAUGGCAGUACGACUGAAAGUUGUAAAGUACAGAAUAAACGGCAGUGGCUAGCUGUAAAGAAAUGCGUCAAGCAGAUUGAACAUCUAGCACAGAUCGGCACUACAUACUGCACGCUAUGAUUUCAGCCCAGAUGUGCAACGAGGGAAAGCCCAACUUUUUCGACGUUGAUUUUCCAAAGAAAAGAAAAUAUUAGCAUUAAUUUAUAAACAAAGUCAAGUAUCGAAACGCUUCAGAAACUGAUGCAAAUUUCAUUAAUAGCUAGAAUUUGUGACAAUGUCUUUGAAGAACUUAAAGAGCGUUUCAAGUCACUGUAGUGGUAGCAACAGUUUGCGAUCAAAGCAGCGCAAAUUGUAAAGCAAUAAUUGAAUAAUAAUGAAAGAUUAAAUUGCCUUAGGGAUAUCAGCGUAAUAUUUUUAGAAAUAUCUAAUGCAAUGCUUAAUAGAUUAUUCUAAAAAAAAGAUUUAAUAAACUCUCAUUUAUUAAAAUGUAUGCGACACACCAUUUGAUUAGAUUUGCAAUUCACUUCAGCCAAUAAUCUUCCACGUGUAGCUAAAUGGUCACACAUUGAAGAUUUGUAUCUUAUUGAUAGCAGUAACGCUUCUUAUCAGGACCGAAUUCUAAUAAAGCUUAUUGCAAAGCUUUAGUAAUAGAUAAAAUUAUAAAAAUGAAGGUUAAGUAUUGCACGCAAGUUUUUAGGCAAUCCUUUGGGUCCUUAAUCACACCGAGUCGCAAUAAAGUUAAAAGUGUGUGCGGCACGCGUUAAAUGCCAGUAGAAGGUGUUGACACUGCUCGAUUCAUUCAUUUUGUGAAUAAUAUUUUCGAUAGUAUCAAUGGUAGUCGACCUAUUCCGGCAAAUGACGAACUGCGAAAUACCCAAUACCUGGGACGUAUACCGCAGUUCACCAGAGUCCAUAACUGCGACGCGCAGGUUGGAAGAUCGUGGGGGGAACGCAGCGAGCUCUCUGCUAAUCGCUUUCCACUUCGUUUGGGAGUAUCGCCAAUCAGGGCGAAGAUGCGCACUGGAGAAGCACGAAGAACGAAAACUGGUCUUUUCGCAGUUAUGGACUCUGGUGAACUGCGGUAUAGAUAUUAGCAUUUUCCGUAGCAUGAAAUUUAUAAAAAGAAAAUGGGGGCUACACUUCGUCUCAGGGGAUCAACAAUUUUUGAAUAAAAAGUGUCAAAUCUUAUAGUUAAUUUUUGGUCCCCUAAGACGAAGUUUGACCAAAAUGGGUAUUAUAAAAUUGAAUUAGAACGUUACAAAAUUUUUAAUUUUUGAAAACACAUUGGUGCGAUCUUGGAUUUUCUCACUUUCUUAGUCGUAAUUUUAACCAAGAUGCGCUAGAAAACUUUUUCGAUUGGAUCAGGCAGCAUAAUAUCUGGAAUACUAAUCCAACUUGUACUACCUUUCACGGGCAUUAUAAGACGUUGUUCUUAAAUUUAUAUUCGCAGUUGACAAGUGUGGAUACUAACUGCGAAUUUGAAUAAUUCACGGACUCCAGUUGUAUCGAUGAACAACAAUUAUAAUGUUUUUCUAAAUUUGUUUCUUCAGCUUCUGAAUCCACUGUACUGACAGUGAUUCAGUAUGUUUUACAGUAUGUUCUUAAGAAGAACUUCGUCUAUAAAUUUUGUUUGGCAAUAGUAUUUGAAAUUAAAAGCAAUGCAUCUCCGUGUUCAUCGAUACACGCUGCGUCAAUCUUCCACAUAUAGCACACAUUCCAAACCUUAUUGGGUCUCUAAAAUGAUACAUUUCGGAACAUGUGAAUUUAAAAUUGACAUGCUGCGAACAUGGAAAGUCUUUAUGUCAUACGUCAUACAUCAAUGUAUCUAAUAUGUUGCCAAGAAUUAUACAGCGAGAGUAAA